rnacentral:tRNA from 1 species
GGCUCGUUGGUCCAGGGGUAUGAUUCUUGCUGAGGGUGCAAGAGGUCCUGGGUUCAGCUCCUGGAUGAGCCC